rnacentral:rRNA from 1 species
GUGUCAGCAGCCGCGGUAAUACAGAGGGGGCAAGCGUUGUCCGGAUUUACUGGGCGUACAGCGCGCGCAGGCGGCUGGGAACGUGCCGUGUGACAAGCCACCGCUCACCGGUGGAGGGCCAUGGUAGACGUCCCGGCUAGAGGCAGGGAGAGGGAUGUGGAAUGCCCGGUGGAGCGGUGAAAUGCGUAGAGAUCGGGCGGAACACCAGCGGCGAAGGCGGCAUCCUGGUCCUGUACUGACGCUGAGGCGCGAGAGCGUGGGGAGCGAACUGGAUUAGAUACCCAGGUAGUCCACGCCGUAAACGAUGUGUACCCGGCGCUGGGCAGUGAUUGCGCUGCUCGGUGCCUCAGCUUACGCAGUGAGUACACCGCCUGGGGACUACGGCCGCAAGGCUAAA